CCUAAAAUUACAUCACAAAUAACCCAAUUUUAAGCUUAAUCUGAUGCACAUAACUGGAGCAUCAAAUUUGAUGUAAUAUUACAUUAAAUUAAACCCGAUUUCACGCGCCUCCGCCACUACACGUUUGUCAGAGUGGAGAAACGUCAAAACGGCUGACGCGCGUGCCGCCACAAAGAAUAUUUUAGCAGCAGAAUUUUUCGUUAAUUAUCAUCAAUUUUGUACAUCUUCGGGCCAGAACCUGUAAUCAAAUCAUUGAUAGAGGUUGCGGAAAUCAUGCAGUUCAAACAAAAUACGUACUAGCCGCGAAGAGCUAAGUCAAACUGCUCCGGCAAGCCGCUGUUCCGAUGUUCCCGGAGUGGAUCAAAACAUAGUACGCAAGUAUUGAGUUCCCUCCAGCUGUGUCACCUGGACGACUCUACAGCGGGGUGGCCAUGGCCGGGUGCACCCCGGUACAAAUAGCAUGCCAGAAGAAUGGUAGUGGAACAAAAGCCAGCGGCAGCAAAAUACGUUUAAAAUUGAGAGCAAAUAACAUGAAAGGACAACUUUGUGCUGUUAGUGAAAAUUGUGUAAUUAAUUACGAUGUGCUUCAAUAAAAAUGCUGAUAUAAGAUAGUGAAAA